AUGCCAUGGUGUGGGCACUCCCUCUAAAGAUCUUUGUACCUUUCUAAUGCAUCAUAGAGUGAUUCAUUAUCCCUUUGCUUGAAUGUGUUCAGUUCAAUUCUUAGUUU